rnacentral:rRNA from 1 species
UACGUAGGGACCGAGCGUUGUCCGGAAUCAUUGGGCGUAAAGAGCGUGUAGGCGGCUUGCUAAGUCUUGCGUGAAAUCUCGGGGCUCAACCCCGAGCGGUCGUGGGAAACUGGCAGGCUAGAGUGCGGAAGGGGCUACUGGAAUUCUCGGUGUAGCGGUGAAAUGCGUAGAUAUCGAGAGGAACACCUGCGGCGAAGGCGGGUAGCUGGGCCGACACUGACGCUGAGGCGCGAAAGCCAGGGGAGCGAACGGG